UCCGAGUUGACCCCGGCAGUCUCCUGCGAGUCCCCGCCAUUACGCGCUGGCAACACAGGACAAGGGUUGCGCUCGUUGCGGGACUUAACCCAACAUCUCACGACACGAGCUGACGACAGCCAUGCAGCAUCUGUGGUGCACCCUCGAAGGUCACACGUUUCCGUGCGCUUGCAGCACCAUGUCAAGCCCAGGUAAGGUGGGGAUGACGUGGAACGGUUGGUU
rnacentral:misc_RNA from 1 species